ACUCUUUGUCUAGAAAGAAAACUGUUUCAGCUUUCCCAGUGUAACCCCAUCUUCACCCCAUCCCAGUCUAUUAUUGUAUAAAGUAGUGCAAAACAUUGGCUGCAGCGAUUUCCACCGAGUUGAAUCCCCUACCAAGUCAGGGAAGUAAAACAUUCUCACCAACUGAAUUCUUUCUUUCUUCAGAGGUAUGUUCCCUCCAUGUGUCAGGGAGUUAGGUACAAAAACUACCCUAAGAGCCGGAAGUGCAAUGUACGGAAUGCUGGAAGAUUUGAAAGCUUCCUGUAGGAUUUCAGAGUUGAAAAUUCUCUUCAGUGCAGUCAUAAUCUCCACCCAGCCAUCUCUGCCGUCACAUCAGGUGAGAACUCAAUGAAAACAAAGGUAAAAAGGUAAUUGCCGCUCUUCAGAAAUCAGUUAAUGGUUAAAGGCAUUGAUCUCCAAAGAUUUCAAAGGUUUUUGAGUUGUGCCCAAUCUUCAAAAAGCAACCAGUACCUCCCACCCCACCAUACUCACUGAUU